rnacentral:rRNA from 1 species
AACGAACGCUGGCGGCAGGCUUAACACAUGCAAGUCGAACGCCCACUUCGGUGGGAGUGGCAGACGGGUGAGUAACGCGUGGAAACAUACCUUUUGCUUCGGAAUAUUCCCGGGAAACUGGGAGCAAUACCGAAUGUGCCCUGAGGGGGAAAGAUUUAUCGGCAAAAGAUUGGUCCGCGUUAGAUUAGGUAGUUGGUGGGGUAAAGGCCUACCAAGCCUACGAUCUAUAGCUGGUCUGAGAGGAUGAUCAGCCACAUUGGGACUGAGACACGGCCCAAACUCCUACGGGAGGCAGCAGUGGGGAAUAUUGGACAAUGGGCGCAAGCCUGAUCCAGCCAUGCCGCGUGAAUGAUGAAGGCCUUAGGGUUGUAAAAUUCUUUCACCGGGGACGAUAAUGACGGUACCCGGAGAAGAAGCCCCGGCUAACUUCGUGCCAGCAGCCGCCGUAA